rnacentral:rRNA from 1 species
UACGGAGGGUGCAAGCGUUGUCCGGAUUUAUUGGGCUUAAAGGGUGCGUAGGUGGCCUUAUAAGUCAGAGGUGAAAGCUUGCAGCUUAACUGUAGGACUGCCAUUGAUACUGUAGGGCUUGAGUACUGAUGAGGUAGGCGGAAUUGAUAGUGUAGCGGUGAAAUGCAUAGAUAUUAUCAAGAACACCGAUUGCGAAGGCAGCUUACUAAGGAGUUACUGACACUGAGGCACGAAAGCGUGGGGAUCAAACAGG